AACUCAUCAAGAGCGGUAGAGGGAACUGGCCCGAGGAAGCCGCAGCAACCAUUCUUUUUAGAACCGGUGCUAAUUCCAACAGCAGCAGCUGACAGAUGAGAG
rfam:Dialister sp. CAG:357 genomic scaffold, scf101